rnacentral:tRNA from 1 species
GCCGGUAUGGCGGAAUUGGCAGACGCGUCAGACUCAAAAUCUGAUGCCCGCAAGGGCGUGUCCGUUCGACCCGGACUACCGGCA